UACGUAGGGUGCAAGCGUUAAUCGGAAUUACUGGGCGUAAAGCGUGCGCCGGCGGUUUUGUAAGUUUUGCGUGAAAUCCCCGGGCUCAACCUGGGAAUUGCGAUGAAGACUGCAAGGCUAGAAUCUGGCAGAGGGGGGUAGAAUUCCACGUGUAGCAGUGAAAUGCGUAGAGAUGUGGAGGAACACCGAUGGCGAAGGCAGCCCCCUGGGUCAAGAUUGACGCUCAUGCACGAAAGCGUGGGGAGCAAACAGG
rnacentral:rRNA from 1 species